GUGUGGAUAACAGACGCGCAACUCUGACUCCCGUAGAGAGCCUAUGCAGGAACUCUAGGACAGCAUUCACCAGCUUCGGAGUGAAGCUCUGCUGCUAGCACAGAUGUCGCCAUAGUCUCGAGGCACCGUCUGGCAAGGCGAGAGGCUCUGCUUGUAGCACAGUCGCUACCAUAGUCCCGAUGCCCUUUCUGGGUAGUGAUGCCAUCAUUGUCCCGAGGCACGUUCUGGCAAGGCGAGAGGCUCUGCUUGUAGCACAGACGCUACCAUAGUCCCGAGGCUCUGUCUGGCAAGACCAGAAGCUCUGCACCUAGCAGAUGCCGC
rnacentral:lncRNA from 1 species